rnacentral:rRNA from 1 species
UUUCAAUUUAUUUAGAUAAUAUAAUAGGACAACUGUUCGCACUAGCUAUAUUAACAGUAGCAGCGUCAGAAUCAUCAAUUGGUUUAGCAAUACUUGUUGUUUAUUAUAGAAUUCGCAAUACAAUUACUAUAGAGUUAAUGACUCUUACAAAAGGGUAAAAUUAUUAAUUUGUUCUUAAAUAUAAAUAAUUUUAAAAGUUAUCAAAGGAAAUCUUGAUAGAAAAAUAAAGACGUCGCGCGACGAAACAUCAUAGGAAGGCACUUGCUUAUGAACUAUGAGUCUUUUUAAGAAAACUCGCAUUUAAUAUGCUUAAUAACAUUUAUGUGAAUUGAAUCAUCUUAGUAACAUAAUAAAAAAUCAAACGAGAACUUGUAAGUAACGGUGAGUGAACACAAGCUUAGCAAAAUGUUGAAAUCCAGAGAAGGUGUCUCAAGUCCUUUACAGCAUUAAUAAGAAUACAAAGUAGUAUGAUUAACUUUUGUACGAAAAUAGGAGUACCAUCUUCUAAGCUAAAAAAUUUUUCUAAUCGAUAGUGAACGAGUACCGUGAGGGAAAGAUUUAAAUUUGUUAAUUUAUAUUUAUUUGAAGUUGAUGAAUGCAACUACAAAGUGCCUUUUGCAUAAUGAGUCAGUAAGUUAAUAUAUGUAGCAAGCUUGAAAAUAUUUAGGCAUUCUAAGUUACAUGCAUUAGACCCGAAGCCAAGUGAUCUAUUCUUAAACAAGUUGAAGAUGUUUUAAAAUGCAUUGGAGGGCUGAACCCACGUCUGUUGAAAAAUACGGGGACGAUUUAAGAAUAGGGGUGAAAGUCCAAUCAAACUUGGUGAUAGCUGGUUUUCCGCGAAAACUAUCAAAGUAGUACGUUGCUUUUCAAAAAUGUGGGUAGAGCUACUUAUUAAACUUAGAUUUUGCUAAGUUUUAUUAAACUCCAAAUUAUAUUUUUAUUUAGCAGCAGACAGUCAUUAGGCGAUAAGGUUCAAUGUCAAAAGGGAAACAACCCUAAUCGAUGGUUAAGAUCUUAAAAUUAUGAAUUAGUGAAAAAAUGAAAAGUAAUUCGAAUAAACAGAGUAGGCUUAGAAGCAGCCAUCUAUUGGAGAAAGCGUUUUAGCUCAUUAUUUUUACUUAUUUUACUCAUUUAAAAUGUAAGGAGACUUAAAUUCAUAUAUCGAAGCUUCGAAUUAAGUUUAAUUUUUCUUAAUGGUAGCGGAACGUCCUGUAGUCUUUUCUGUUAAUGUUAAAUUGCAUAUUAAAAAUCAGGAGUGCUAAUGCUGACAUGAGUAGCGUCAACCAUGUUGAAAAUAAAUCAUGGUCGUCUAUUGCUCAAGGGUUUCCAGUAAAUUUUAAGUAACUGGGUUUAGUCGGCCCUUAAAAAAAAAGUGAAAACUGUACUUGAUAGGAAAAUUAUUCCGCAUGUUUGCAAAAUAUUUUUGUGUAAAAAAGUACUUUUAAAAGUUUUGCUUAAUAAACUAGCAACUUAAAAAAAGUAUUUUUCAGGAAAAUUUGCAUGAAGUUUGACCGUACUUAGAACCGACACAGGUGAGCUUAUUGAGAAGAUAAAGACGAAUGAGAUAAUUAUACUUAAGGAACUCGGCAAAUUUGCUCCGUACGUUCGCAACAAGGAGUACCUUAAAGGAUUCAAAAAUUAGGGGUAGCGACUGUUUAACAAAAACUCAAAACUUUGCAAAUUCGAAAGAAGACGUAUAAGGUUUGACGCCUGCCCAGUGCUUGAAAGCGAAAAAUACACGUUAACGCUUGUAUCAUAAACUCAAGUAAACGGCGGUCUUAACUAUAAGGAUCCUCAGGUAGCGAAAUUCCUUGGCGGGUAAAUUCCGUCCUGCAUGAAUGGCGUCACGACUACCCCACUGUCUCUAGUAUAAACUCAGCGAAAUUACAUUGUCUGUGAAAAUGCAGACAUCCUACAACAAGACGGAAAGACCCUAUGAUUCUUAACUAUAAUUUUACGUCGCAAUAAUUUUGUGUACAGUACAGUAAAAGUAGGAGUAUACUUAUACAAUUUUGAAAAACUACUCUGUACAUAAGAAAUUGCUUAC